AAGAUGUGGUUUAGUGGGCCGGAUUUCAAGGAUAACAUGGCCAAGUGGUUAGUCAGGUCAGUGCAACAGUUGAAUGACAACUUUAUAAAUAGCAAUAAGCCAUUUUAUGCGAAAAAGAACACAAACAACACACUCUAAAACAUUCAAUUUUCCAGUUUUUCUAGUAAAUUUAGCUUAGGCUACAACAGUUAGCAUAUUAAGCCAACUGUUGGCUUAGUUAUUUGUUGUGAUAGGUAGUUGCAUUGGAUUUACAAUUUGUUACGUCCAUUCAGACUUAGUUGUGUAUUCAAUCUUGGAUCUGUAGCUUGUUACGUCCUUUUGGACUUAGUUACAUGUUCAAUCCUAGUUGUUUACUUUCAUCUAGACUGUUAUACGGUGUUAUUGAAUUGCUUUGCACUUUAUCAAAAAUGUAUUGAUCCGGGUUGUAAAAUUUACAACAUAUCCAACAGUUAUUUCCAGAUUUUACUUCACCGACUGUUUCUAGUAAUUAAAAUUCUUGCAUGUAUGUGUAUAUGUGUGAGAUUGAUAUUUGCUAGACAAGCAGAUAGAUCAGUUUAACAGCUU
rnacentral:lncRNA from 1 species